rnacentral:rRNA from 1 species
CCUACGGGUGGCAGCAGUGAGGAAUAUUGGUCAAUGGACGCAAGUCUGAACCAGCCAUGCCGCGUGCAGGAAGACGGCUCUCUGAGUUGUAAACUGCUUUUGUACGAGGGUAAACGCAGAUACGUGUAUCUGUCUGAAAGUAUCGUACGAAUAAGGAUCGGGUAAACCCGUGUCAGUAGCAGCGGUAAUACGGAGGAUUCAAGCGUUAUCCGGAUUUAUUGGGUUUAAGGGGUGCGUAGGCGGUCGGAUAAGGUAGAGGUGAAAUCUCGAGGCUUAACUUCGGGAUUGCCUCUGAUACUGUUCGGCUAGAGAGUAGUUGCGGUAGGCGGAAUGCAUGGUGUAGCGGUGAAAUGCUUAGAGAUCAUACAGAACACCGAUUGCGAAGGCAGCUUACCAAGCUACUUCUGACGUUGAGGCACGAAAGCGUGGGGAGCAAACAGGAUUAGAUACCCUUGUAGUC